rnacentral:rRNA from 1 species
AAGAGACAGCAGCAGCCGCGGGAAUACAGAGGGUGCGAGCGUUAAUCGGAUUUACUGGGCGUAAAGCGUGCGUAGGCGGCUUUUUAAGUCGGAUGUGAAAUCCCUGAGCUUAACUUAGGAAUUGCAUUCGAUACUGGGAAGCUAGAGUAUGGGAGAGGAUGGUAGAAUUCCAGGUGUAGCGGUGAAAUGCGUAGAGAUCUGGAGGAAUACCGAUGGCGAAGGCAGCCAUCUGGCCUAAUACUGACGCUGAGGUACGAAAGCAUGGGGAGCAAACAGGAUUAGAUACCCCCGUAGUCCCUGUCUCUUAUAC